GCCAGUCCGCCCAUUUGCGGCCGGUCGGUGCACGACGAUUUUAGCAUCGGAGACUCCAGCAGAGUCUUCAAGUGGCAGCAACCUUUAUCAGGGCGUCCUGCUCCCUGCCUUUGAAUGAAUGGAGGCCACUGGUGCUCAAAUACUCGGCAAAAUCAGCCCAGAAAGUCUGGCAGCUCGCAGCGAGUCACUCGUAAUCGGCAGGCGAUGCCAGGCCGCCUCCUGUGCAUGCAAUUCCGCUGAAGACUGUUGUAGCCUCGUCAAGCACCAGCACAGUCAAGCACAGUCUUCAGUGGCACCAUCCUUCUGCAGGGCGUCCUGCACACUGCCCUUCAAUGAGAGGAGGCACCUGGUGCCCAUUCACUCCAUAAAGUCCCGACUAGAAAGCCUGGAAGCUCGGAACGAGUCGCUCGCCAUUUGUUGGAGAGGCCAGUCCACCCAUUUGCGGCCGGUCGGUGCACGACGAUUUUAGCAUCGGAGACUCCAGCAGAGUCUUCAAGUGGCGGCAACCUUUAUCAGGGCGUCCUGCUCCGUGCCCUUGAAUGACUGGAGGCCACUGGUGCUUAAAUACUCUGCAAAAUCAGCCCAGAAAGUCUGGCAGCUCGCAGCGAGUCACUCGUAAUCGGCAGGCGAUGCCAGGCCGCCUCCUGUGCAUGCAAUUCCGCUGAAGACUGUUGUAGCCUCGUCAAGCACCAGCACAGUCAAGCACAGUCUUCAGUGGCACCAUCCUUCUGCAGGGCGUCCUGCACACUGCCCUUCAAUGAGAGGAGGCACCUGGUGCCCAUUCACUCCAUAAAGUCCCGACUAGAAAGCCUGGAAGCUCGGAACGAGUCGCUCGCCAUUUGUUGGAGAGGCCAGUCCACCCAUUUGCGGCCGGUCGGUGCACGACGAUUUUAGCAUCGGAGACUCCAGCAGAGUCUUCAAGUGGCGGCAACCUUUAUCAGGGCGUCCUGCUCCGUGCCCUUGAAUGACUGGAGGCCACUGGUGCUUAAAUACUCUGCAAAAUCAGCUCAGAAAGU